rnacentral:rRNA from 1 species
AGAGUUUGAUCCUGGCUCAGAACGAACGCUGGCGGCAGGCCUAAUACAUGCAAGUCGAGCGCAUCCUUCGGGAUGAGCGGCGGACGGGUGAGUAACGCGUGGGAAUAUGCCCUUCUCUAAGGAAUAGCCUCGGGAAACUGAGAGUAAUACCUUAUACGCCCUUCGGGGGAAAGAUUUAUCGGAGAAGGAUUAGCCCGCGUUAGAUUAGGUAGUUGGUGGGGUAAUGGCCUACCAAGCCUACGAUCUAUAGCUGGUUUGAGAGGAUGAUCAGCCACACUGGGACUGAGACACGGCCCAGACUCCUACGGGAGGCAGCAGUAGGGAAUCUUAGACAAUGGGGGAAACCCUGAUCUAGCCAUGCCGCGUGUGUGAUGAAGGCCUUAGGGUCGUAAAGCACUUUCGCCAGAGAUGAUAAUGACAGUAUCUGGUAAAGAAACCCCGGCUAACUCCGUGCCAGCAGCCGCGGUAAUACGGAGGGGGUUAGCGUUGUUCGGAAUUACUGGGCGUAAAGCGCACGUAGGCGGAUUAGUAAGUUAAGGGUGAAAUCCCAGGGCUCAACCCUGGAACUGCCUUUAAUACUGCUAGUCUUGAGUUCGAGAGAGGUAAGUGGAAUUCCAAGUGUAGAGGUGAAAUUCGUAGAUAUUUAGAGGAACACCAGUGGCGAAGGCGGCUUACUGGCUCGAAACUGACGCUGAGGUGCGAAAGUGUGGGGAGCAAACAGGAUUAGAUACCCUGGUAGUCCACACCGUAAACGAUGAAUGCCAGACGUCAGCAAGUAUACUUG